rnacentral:rRNA from 1 species
GGAAGCACCGGCUAACUCCGUGCCAGCAGCCGCGGUAAUACGGAGGGUGCAAGCGUUGUCCGGAAUCAUUGGGCGUAAAGAGUUCGUAGGCGGCAUGUAAAGUCAGGUGUUAAAGGCGCAGGCUCAACCUGUGUACGGCACUUGAUACUUGCAAGCUAGAAUGCGGUAGAGGUAAAGGGAAUUCCUGGUGUAGCGGUGAAAUGCUUAGAUAUCAGGAGGAACAUCGGUGGCGUAAGCGCUUUACUGGGCCGUAAUUGACGCUGAGGAACGAAAGCCAGGGUAGCAAAUGGGAUUAGAUACCCCAGUAGUCCUGGCCGUAAACGAUGGAUACUAGGUGUUGCGGGUAUCGACCCCUGCAGUGCCGCAGCCAACGCGAUAAGUAUCCCGCCUGGGGAGUACGCACGCAAGUGUGAAACUCAAAGGAAUUGACGGGGACCCGCACAAGCGGUGGAACAUGUGGUUUAAUUCGAAGCAACGCGAAGAACCUUACCAGGGCUUGACAUCUGACGAACUUUCUGGAAACAGAGAGGUGCUCUUCGGAGAGCGUCAAGACAGGUGGUGCACGGUUGUCGUCAGCUCGUGUCGUGAGAUGUUGGGUUAAGUCCCGCAACGAGCGCAACCCUCGUCGUUAGUUGGUGAUAUCGGUAUACUGAUAUAGACCUCUCUAGCGAGACUGCCGGUGAUAAACCGGAGGAAGGUGGGGACGACGUCAAAUCAUCAUGCCCCUUAUGCUCUGGGCUACACACGUGUUACAAUGGUCAGGACAGCGAGCAGCCAACUCGUGAGGGUGAGCAAAUCUCUAAAACCUGGCCUCAGUUCGGAUUGCACUCUGCAACUCGAGUGCAUGAAGUCGGAAUCGCUAGUAAACGCAGAUCAGCACGCUGCGUUGAAUACGUUCCCGGGUCUUGUACACACCGCCCGUCACACCAUGGAAGUCGACCACGCCCGAAGUACGUGAGCUAACCGUAAGGAAGCAGCGUCCUAAGGCAGGGUUGGUGACUGGGGUGAAGUCGUAACAAGGUAGCCGUACCGGAAGGUGUGGCUG